CACUAUUUUUCUUGUUCGUUGCUUAAUCGGGUCGAUUCUAACACUUUGCAAGAGUGAUUUGAGUUAGAUCCUUGGUAUUUUCCAAGGUUGAAAUAGAAGCCUCAAAUUUUUCAGGCACUGUUACAAGAAUUUUUUCAACAAUUCUUGAGUCCUUGAACUAAGAACCAAGUAAUCUGAUUCGAUUUGCAAUGUCCAAUAACCUAUCAGAAUACUCUUUGAUUGAUUCUGUUUCUUUCAUCUUCUGCAACUCGAAUUCUCGAAUUAAGUUUAGCACACGCAUUCCUUUGAUUCUUUUAUCUCCCUCAUACUCUGACUUGAGAUAAUUAUAUAUCUCAUAUGCUGACUUCAGAGUCAUAAUCCGAGUGAAGAUAGUAGAUGAGAUUGCAGUGAACAAGUAGGCCUUUGCCUUGGAUUUCUUUGUCUUCUUCUUUUGCAAUUUGAUCUGUGCCAUGGUAGGAUUUGUGGGAGAGUAGGAAUUUCAUAAUCGUCUUCCACUACUUCCCAAAUAUCCAAAGCUUCCAUAUACACCUCCAUACGAACUGCCCAAACCUGGUAGUUGUCUCCAUCAAACACCGGUGGAGAAAUUGAAGAGAAACUAGAACUUGCUUUGACGUCCAUGACACAGCAACCUCGCACACUCACUCAUAGAUCCCUUAAGAAUACAGCUUUGAGUCCAAUUGUGAGUAUUUUAGUGAAAAAAAACUUAAUAGAUG
rnacentral:lncRNA from 1 species